rnacentral:rRNA from 1 species
CCCUUAGAUGUCCGGGGCUGCACGCGCGCUACACUGAAGGAAUCAGCGUGCUAAAACCAUUGUCGAAAGGCAUUGGUAAACCCAUUAAAAUCCUACGUGAUUGGGAUCGGGAAUUGCAAUUAUUUCCCUUGAACGAGGAAUUCCCAGUAAGUGUGGGUCAUAAGCUCGCGUUGAUUACGUCCCUGCCCUUUGUACACACCGCCCGUCGCUGCCCGGGACUGAGCCGUUUCGAGAAAAGCGGGGACUGCUGCUGUCGGGGCUUUCGGGCCUCGGCUUCGGUGGAAACCGCUUUAAUCGCAGUGGCUUGAACCGGGCAAAAGUCGUAACA